GUACACUCCUGCGGGAGGCAGCAGUGGGGAAUAUUGGACAAUGGGCGAAAGCCUGAUCCAGCAAUGCCGCGUGAGUGAUGAAGGCCUUAGGGUUGUAAAGCUCUUUUACCCGGGAUGAUAAUGACAGUACCGGGAGAAUAAGCCCCGGCUAACUCCGUGCCAGCAGCCGCGGUAAUACGGAGGGGGCUAGCGUUGUUCGGAAUUACUGGGCGUAAAGCGCGCGUAGGCGGCUUUGUAAGUUAGAGGUGAAAGCCCGGAGCUCAACUUCGGAAUUGCCUUUAAGACUGCAUCGCUAGAAUCGUGGAGAGGUGAGUGGAAUUCCGAGUGUAGAGGUGAAAUUCGUAGAUAUUCGGAAGAACACCAGUGGCGAAGGCGACUCACUGGACACGUAUUGACGCUGAGGUGCGAAAGCGUGGGGAGCAAACAGGAUUAGAAACCCCUGUAGUCCCAUGA
rnacentral:rRNA from 1 species